CCACACGUGGCUCCAGCACGAAAGAAGAGGCCGGCCACAAAAUCAAAUGUGUCGGCCGCCCCGCCGCCAAAAAAGAAAGCCUCCGAAAAGAAACAAGCUAUCAUUCCUAAGAAGCUGUCCUAUGAUCAGAUGACUGAUGCAGAAAUAAAUGCUUCAGUUAAAUCAGAUGUGGAUAGUUUCUUCAAGAAACUUAAGACUGAAAGAGAAGCCAAGCGAAACCCUGAGAAGCUGUACCUGUUACUACGGCCAGAAGAUCUACGACAAAGGG
rnacentral:lncRNA from 1 species